ensembl:lncRNA
CGGGAAAAGAAUGAUAAUGAUGCAGUUCAGGUUGCUGUUGUACUCCUCUCCUGCUGCUGCACCCAGCCUUCCACCGCCUCUCCAGGCACCCCGCUCAGUUUCUGGUCAGUUUCAUCCCAGGUUUGGAGUGAGAGGGGUUGACAGCAGCGACUUUCGAGCAUUCUGAGUCAUUGGUCAGAAGUACAAUGGUCAAGUUUAUGAUUUCACCUUCCUUCUCUAGGAUUCAGUGGAGGUCAUUUUUAUCUUUGCUAACAUGCUUUUCUAACUUUCUCUUUCCUCACCGGUGUGCAGCUCUAAUUCUACACCUGAAUUUACUGUGUAUAUUACCAUUUAGGUAUGUCAGAUACUGUUUCUGUUGCCCCCCAAAUCAGUCCUGCCUAGCACCAGGUGUGCAUUUCUUUAACGGAGCAUGAGUAAGCUGUUUGCAGCCACAAGGUCUCCAGUACCAAGCCUGUGUCCCUUCCCAUUCUACGCCAAUACUCCUCUAGGGUACCUCCUAGGUCUUCCCUUCUCCAGGGCCUCUACUACCCUACCAGGCCUACAUCCCUCUACGCUACAUCCCUGUAGUUAGGGUGCGAACGACCCCAUUCUACCUACAAUCACAGCGAUGCAAAACUACGGCUGUACCCCACCAACAGCAGUCAGCCAGACCCCUGCUCCGCCGGCGACAUCACUGCUACAGCUGAACCAAGUCGAACGGCGGCGCAGGCAGGUCGGGCACGGCCAGCGGGACGAGCCUCCGCGGCGAGGCCUGGCAGAGGGGUGCACACCCCGCACCGCACGGCCAGCCACGGCGGCAGAGGGCACCGGGCUCCGCACCGCACUGCACCCCGCAGGACGCGCUGCGCUGCGCUGCCCGCCGCGGCGGCGCCAAGGUCGGCGGCAGGCGGCGGCCGGGGCGAUGCUGCCGGCCGGCACGGCUUCAGCCCCGCAGCGCCNCGCAGGCGGGGGAAGGGCGACACACACUUCCCACCCCAGAAGCCGGCCCCAGCCCCGCGCCCGUUCGCCCGAGCAGCUGGCGAAGGGCGAGACCGGCCCAGCCGCACGCGUUACCGUUGCCGGCAGCCACCGCUGGGGCAGGAGCGAGGUCCCAGGAGGCCGAAGCCCUGCCCUGGCCCAGCCCCGCUCCGGUCCGGCGAUCCGCACAGCCCCGCCGCCGGCCCUGCGGGAGCGCCCCGCCGCCUCACACCCGCGCCGACCCUCACCGCCCGGCGCGGCAACCCCCUCCCGGAAACAGCGCUGCUGCUGGGGCGAGCUCCCAUUGGUCCCUUCCCGUCACAACUUCCCGCCUCCUCGGUGCUGCGCGGGUGACGAUUGGUUACUCGCCGCUGUCAGUCGGGGAGGGCGAGCCCCGCCGCUGCCUGGGCUGCGCUCUCGUGGGGCGGGUGCUGCUGCCGGGCGCCGCGGCGGCUGGUGCGGCUGCGGGCGGAGCAGUGAUGCCGGCUGCGAGGCGGCGUAUGGCAGCGGGAGCCCGGCACGGAGCGGCGUGCGCCCAGGCGGGCGAGGGCGGCGAGCGCGGCCGAGUGGAAACUUCAUGCAUCUGAGCGCCUGGCUUAGUAUUUACACAGUGACGAUAAAAAUGCUGAUCAGAACUUCAGUUUCAUCUUUUCUCUGUUCAAAAGCCUUCUAAAUAUGCAAUACAUACAUAUUUAUUUAUGCAUGGCUAACUUGUUAAUUCAUUAUGUUGUCUUGUGUACUACCUGUGAAUUCUGUAAUUGCUUUGGUUUUGUAUAUUUUCUUCUUAUGUGCCAGGAUUCCAUAAUUUGUUGGAUGAUCUUCUACCUGAUUUGCUAAGAAGGGCAUAGCAUUAAUAAAGUUAGCUGUACUUUGUUAUCUAAUGGAUUAUUUCCAUGGAGAAAAAGAAAAGAAAUUGUCCAUAUAUAUUGUUGAUGUAUUUUCAUUGUUGAAAAAUAA